UCACAGAGAUACGAUCUUACGUAUACGUAAGCUCCCGAAGGGAGCUAGAGAGGUAACUCUUUUCGCGCGUUCUUUUCUCCCAUAGGUUUUGUACACAGCCAACAUGGCUGCCGGCGGACAAUUUGAAGGUUGAUUUUGGAGGGUCAAUGUUUAAUUCAUGAAAUGACGUCAAAUUACGCAAAAUACACUUCCAUGAUUGGCUAAGACGCUAAUGUUUUAUUCAUAUCUUAUGAAUUAAACACGUUUUUCCUUCCCACAAUUCCCCACGAGAUCUGUGCGAAGUGUUGUUCUUUUGGAUUGUGCGAAUUUCCAGUUUCUACAACGAAAUAGCUCGACUAAUCAUCUGUUUAUAGAAUUGAUGUUCGAAAUCGUGAUUUUUGAGUGAACUUCAUUGGAGCAGAAAAUCUUGGAGGGAACAUCAAUAAUAAUCUACUGACAUUCCAUGAGAAUAAAAAUCCAAUAGGACCAAGAUUUUAGCAGUUCACACCCAGUCAGAGGUACAAAAUUGAGAGCCAUGCAGAUCAGCAAGUGUGGGUUUCACUCUAAUGAGGAACAGGAUAUCUGAAUUGGAAAAUUCCAAGGUUUCCCACUGCCCAAGAUGUUUAAGUACUGGUAUCACAACAAGUACCAAGAUGGAAUAUAUAUGAAGGCCAAGCUAAUAAGUAGUUACUUCAAAUUAAUUUGAAUAGAUAUAUCAACAAAGCAC
rnacentral:lncRNA from 1 species